CCUACGGGUGGCAGCAGUGAGGAAUAUUGGUCAAUGGGCGCAAGCCUGAACCAGCCAAGUCGCGUGAGGGAUGACGGUCUUCGGAUUGUAAAGUUCUGUGAUGGGGGAUGAACACAAUGACGGUACCCCAAUAGCAAGCCACGGCUAACUACGUGCCAGCAGCCGCGGUCAUACGUAGGUGGCAAGCGUUAUCCGGAAUGACUGGGCGUAAAGGGUGCGUAGGUGGUUUAGUAAGUUGGCGGUGUAAUUCCGGGGCUCAACCUCGGCGCUACCGCCAAAACUAUUAGACUAGAGUGCAGGAGGGGUAAGUGGAAUUCGUAGUGUAGCGGUGGAAUGCGUAGAUAUUAGGAGGAACCUCAGGGGCGAAGGCGACUUACUGGACUGUAACUGACACUGAGGCACGAAAGCGUGGGGAGCGAACAGGAUUAGAUACCCCGGUAGUC
rnacentral:rRNA from 1 species